UCGAACGAGAAAGUGGAGCAAUCCAUGAGUACAGUGGCGUACGGGUGAGUAACACGUGGAUUAUCUACCUUCUAGUGGGGAAUACCUCCGGGAAACUGGAGACAAUACCGCAUAAGCUCGUAAGAGGAAAGCAGCAAUGCGCUGGAAGAGGAGUCCGCGGCUGAUUAGCUAGUUGGCGGGGUAACGGCCCACCAAGGCGAAGAUCGGUAGCCGGCCUGAGAGGGCACACGGCCACACUGGCACUGAAACACGGGCCAGACUCCUACGGGAGGCAGCAGUGGGGAAUCUUGCACAAUGGAGGAAACUCUGAUGCAGCGACGCCGCGUGAGCGAUGAAGCCCUUCGGGGUGUAAAGCUCUUUCGACGGGAACGAUAAUGACGGUACCCGAAGAAGAAGCUGCGGCUAACUACGUGCCAGCAGCCGCGGUAAUACGUAGGCAGCAAGCGUUGUUCGGAAUUACUGGGCGUAAAGAGUGUGUAGGCGGUGUUCUAAGUUUGUCGUGAAAUCUCCCGGCUUAACUGGGAGGGUGCGGCGAAAACUGGAAUGCUAGAGGAUGGGAGAGGUAAGCGGAAUUCCUGGUGUAGCGGUGAAAUGCGUAGAUAUCAGGAGGAACACCUGUGGUGUAGACAGCUUACUGGACCAUUUCUGACGCUGAGACA
rnacentral:rRNA from 1 species